GCCUCAGUGGUGUAGAGGUUAUCAUACCCGCUCAACAUAGUAUGUGAUGAAUGAAGUCCAUUUACGAGUAGGUGAGAUGGGUUCGAAUCCCUUCUGAGGCG
rnacentral:tRNA from 1 species